UUGUCAUGGUGUUGAAGAAGAGGGUUGGGCGAGUGCCAGAAUAAAUACCAUCUACUUCCUCUUCAUCUUCACCUCUGCUUCAUAACAGACUCACACAGCAUCUCUGAACUGUCUGAUUUUGGGCGAAAGAUAAAAUGGUUUUCGCUGUACCACAGAGGAUCCUCCUGAUCUGCCUGCUUCAUUUUUGUACUUGUGCAGUCGGUCAGACUGUGAACCAAAUAACUCUCAUGAAUAUUGUCAGGAACUUUGAGAAUAAGUUAGGUAGCAUGGGACAAUAUGCUGUCGCCUUCAGAGUCGAAAGAACAGAUGUCAAGAUUCCAACUACAGUGGUCAGGAGUUAAUAACUCCACAAGUGAAAGAAACACUUCAGCGCAAUGAGGUUUAUAAGAGCAAUAACCUUAUUGCUGCAAAGGCUGUUCAAAAUAUACAAGAUCAUUCAGAGUUUCGCCUGAAGAAUUAUCUAAGGAAUGUUUUGAGUGUAACAAACCAAUGUGUGGUUUAUUUCACUGUAAAUUCACCCUGUUUGAAUAAAUGCAUAGCAGAAAUCGGGCGAUUCAGCAUUAGACGCAAUCUUGAAGAUUUAGAAAAAUAUGAGGGAAUUAAAGCCUUUGCAUUCAACAAAGUCUGGCAAUAUGAUGAAAGGGAGGAGGUGAUAAGGAGACUGAAAGGAAUUGCAUCUGCUUUGCCAUAUUAUCAGUGUGAGAGAAACAAAGAUGAAUGUGAUCACCUGUAAGAAGAGCAAUGCUUGAUAGAGCUGGUUUCCUCACACAGACAGUUUUAUUUAGCUUUUCUGUUUUAAUUGCAACAUUAGCAAAUUGGCAAAUAAAAUCAAUCAUCUGUAAAAGGAUGACAGUUACUGUUAAAGUAAACUAAUGACAGCAUGUCUGCUUACUGCUGGAGCAAAUAAAAAUUGCUUUUAUUGAGCAUCA